CCUGGUGGUCAUUGCGGGGUUGCCGCACCCGGUCCCAUUCCGAACCCGGCCGUGAAAAGCCCCAGCGCCGAUGGUACUGCGUCUCAAGACGUGGGAGAGUAGGUCGCCGCCAGGU
rnacentral:rRNA from 1 species